ensembl:lncRNA
AUCAAUGUAAAUGUAAAUGAUUCUGGCUUUGGUUUUCACAAUCACAUUCAAUGGAUGACACUGUCACUGUCCUGUUAUUCAAGAGGAAAUUAAAUAAAAACGCGAAGGCUCAAAUAAAAUGAUUGAACUUUAUUGUAACAGAAUACACAGAAUACACAGAAUACACACACACACACACACACACACACACACACACACACACACACACACACACACACACCAGGUUAACACCCAACUAGUGGACCAGGUGUGGGCGUAUCCAAAAAAAAGAAUACUUACCGGCCUGGCUUACGAGGCCUUGGUCGGGAUCACACAGGGAGACAGACACGAACAACACAGAGACAGACCGACAAACAACAGAGAGAGAGACAAGUAAUGGUGACUAAAGGCCUACACUCUUCCUCCAGUCAUCCAGGGUCUGUCCUGACUCUGGACAGUACCACCGCCCCUUCAGCUGGGUGUGUCCGGUUUUUUUGUUUUUGUCCUGGCCACACUUCUUGCAGGUGUAGUGGUACUUCUCCUUCGUCAGCCUCUUCCGUGGCGGUUCCCCCCUUGCCAUUAGAUCCUCAUCCUCAUGGGCAGCUUUGUUCAGCCUCCAGGUACGUUGCCUUGGCUGGGCACCUGGAAGGCACUCUGGAGGAGCUUGACAUGGAGGAGCCUGAGGUAAAGGAGGAUCAUGUGCAGAUGGAAAUGGGGGAGCAUGCGGCAUAGGAGGGGCAUGGGUGAAUGGAAUGUGCGGAUAGGGGGGAGCAUACGGAUAAGGAGGAGCAUGGGGAAAUGGAAAGUGGGGAAAUGGGGGAGCAUAUGAAAAAGGAGGAGCUGGCCCAAAUUGUGGAUGGAACUGAGGAGGUGGAGGUGGCGGAGAGAUGACAUUAGGCUUGUUUGCCGUUAGAGUGCGCUGGCGGGGGAAAGCUUCCCCCUCACGGUUUUCGGGCUCGUCAAAUGUCAUCUCAUGUGCAUGUUGCACAGGGGCAGCCGGGAGAGUGUUUGAUGAAGGGAGAGGCUCCUUGGCCAGGUAUAGCUGUUGAGGGAGAACAUUGCCCUGCAGCAGCAUGUUCCUGUCCUUCCUCUUGUCCCUCCUAAGCAGCCUACAAGACAAACAUUCAUUAUUUUAUAUGUGUAAGCCUAUCCUCCCUCCCAAAGGUUAUUACAUACUGUGUAUUACAUGUUUUCUAACAAGCAUGCAGGUGAAGGUUUUUCUUGAGGUUAAAUAUUUACAUACUGUCUUGGCUGUAUGGGGAAGGUAAAUGAAACAACACAUACCAUGCAGAGACCGUGGUGUUGUUCACCGGCACCAGAGCCAGCGCCGUCUGGACCACGAUAACCCUGCUGUCCUCCAGCAGCUGUCUAAUGUGGCUGUAGACGCUCACAAUUGACUGAGGGAUGGGCAGGGUUUUCCCCCUCGUGUCCUUCGGCCUGUUGCGGGACUGCUCGAACUCCUUGGCCAGUCUGAGGCAGACACACUCACUGACCCUGUGGUGUUCGGGAUCCUGGGCUGCUUGGCCAGAGGCCAUGGUACAUACAUCUAAGAAUCCUACACUACUAGUUUUCUCCAGUUGUUAAAAUACAUCAGGCAUUACUGCAAAAUCACUGAAGCCCACCAGAGGAAGAAACAAGCAAACCUGUAAACAAUCAAUUAGUAAAUAACUCACUUACCUUGUGGAACCCACAGGGGGAAAAUAAUUUCACAUACCUUGUGGAAGCCACAGGAGCACUGAAGGCUUCUCCCGAACAGAUCCUUACUACCACUAUGGCUCUGCAGGGGGCAAGCAUCGAUGUUCUCCAAGGCCUUUUUCCAUUUCUUGGCCCCUGGCCGUUUGCCAGUCGAGAAGCGGUAAAGGCCCU